AGUCGGGGAGCGAGGCAACGGGAACGCCUUACCCGAGACACUGCCCGCCCUGCCCCGCCCCCCGACCUCCUCUGAUUGGUCCGUGCUCCACCAAUUGCUAACGCCGCAAGAAGGUCGAGCAGAGUUGCUUCGGCGCGCGCGUGCAAGUAUUGAAAGGACGCUAGACGGUUCCCUAGCAACGGCUACCUGGAGGCACGCCCCGACCCGCAGAUUGGUCUCACCUGGGGCUGCUCUGGAUCCUUCUCUCGCGGUCUUUUGAGCAGGCUGACACCGUGUGCGUCUUCUACACUCCAGGCGUGGAAGUGCUUUUGAUAGCUAUCAUUGCGCUUUCACCUACAUUGAAUCUUCAUUCCGUGUAUUUUCCACCUUCCGUUCACAUAUACGGAGGACCGACUUAAAUUCUACGUGGAUUUUCUACUGUAUAUUGGACCCCAACCCCACGUUCAAAGGCACUAGAAUGGCAAGCUCAAGGGCCUUGAACCAGGAAGAUACUUCGUAAAUUGGAGGAAUAGCAAGAAGGUCAGUGUGGCUGCAGGAGAAAGAAGGGAAAUGCAGAAUGGCUUUAUCACAUGGCAGAGGAAAUAAGAUAUGUGCAUAACAAUUAAAUAUGAUGCAGAUUGAGUGCCCUGAGAGAGGAUUUGAGUGUUACAAAGAGUUCAAAGAAGAUAGUGAUCCCUUGGUGGAUGGAGACCAAUGAAGGCUUCAUGGAGGAAGUGGCAUUUCAGCAGAAUCUUUGAUAGGAAUUUUUGAAAUCUAUGUAUAAGAUUUGAGGAACCAUUUGCAGCUGCGUAACCUGAGAUCCUAUAUGGAAACUGUUUAGCCCAGAGUCUGGCACAAAAGUCACUCCUACAGGAAGAUAAAGUAAUCAAUUAAUUAAUUGUAGAAACCAUAUUUUGGAGUUUAAGGAAAAUUUUCUACAUUUAAAAAACAAAACUGAAAGAAAUCGCCAAGAGCUGAUGGAAGCCUUGAGUAAAAUGAAGUAUGACAGUAGACAGAGGGUCGAUGUCCCCGUAAAGUUAGGUAAGAAGGAAGUGAAUACAUUGGAUAAGAAUGAAACAGUGUCUAACACAUUUGAAGUCUUAAAGUUCUUUCUCCCUCAUCUGAGGAAAGUAGGCAGGAUUUACCCUGAUGUAAUCAUCAGCAAAAAGAAAGAAGGCGUGUCUUUUGCACUGGGCAUUUCCACUGUUAACAGACGAAAUUAUAGUUACCUGAAGCAAACGCUGACCUCCCUUGUUUCCAGGAUGACGCUUUCGGAGGAGAAGGACUCGGUAGUGAUCGUCUCUAUUGCAGAUAGUAAUGAAGAGUAUUCAAAAUCUGUUGUUGACAUGAUUACAAAAAAAUUCAAAAGGCAAGUGAAGUCUGGUUCCUUAGAGGUCAUUUCAAUACCUGCCUUUUUUUAUCCAGACACGUUACAUGCCAUGCAAUCAGCUGAGGACUCACAAAAACUAGAGAGUUGGCGAAUCAAACAAGUUUUGGAUUUUUGUUUUUUGAUGUUGUAUGCCCAACCCAAGGCCAUGUAUUAUCUACAGCUAGAAGAUGACAUCAUAGCUAAAAAGAUGUACUUUACAAAAAUCAUAGAUUUCGUACAUAGUAUCACUUCAAAUAAUUGGUUUUAUAUUGAGUUUUCAGUUCUUGGAUUUAUAGGAAAGCUAUUUAAAUCUGAGGACUUAACUGACUUCAUACAGUUUUUUUUAAUGUUCUACAAAGAUAAACCCAUAGACUGGCUGUUGGCGGACAUUUUUCAGGUGAAGAUGUGUACCCCAGGAGAAACUCCUGAGAAAUGUGUAGAACGAAAUAAGCAAAUUCGUAUUCGAUAUAAACCUUCCCUUUUCCAGCAUGUGGGCAUACAGUCAUCAUAUCCUGGAACUGAACAAUAUUUAAAAGAUAUCUACUAUUAGGAGUUACAUAAUUCUAACACCUUUUAUAAUGAUCAGAAUUCUUUGGAAAAAAAUGGCAUAACAAGGAUUAGACUAUUUCCCAACCUACUUCAUAGUGGAUAAGCGACUAUGUCAUAUUUUUAAAAAGUUAAACCUUCAAUUAUAAACUGGAAAUACGAAGCUAACCGUAACAAGAAGAAACUCUGUAAUACCUUGGGACCUCAGAAACUGUGCUUUCUAAAUGGCAUCUUUCAGACGUUGUAAUAAUGAAAGUAUAUAAUUAUAUAGAAAAGGAGAAAACAGUGAGCAAACUAGUGGACUUGAAAGCAUGAAACUAUCUCUUAUGUCAAGAAAAAUUAGAACAUUUAUUUAUGAUGUUUAUACUCUUACAAUUUAAUAUUAAAAUAGUAAAGGCAGGAAAGCUUUUAAAAAUUGAGAAAUGUAUUUUGUUGACUUAGAUAAUGAUGCUAUUACAAAAUCUCAAUAAAUAGCUAAAAGCUCAGAAACUUGACACUGUCAUGGACAGGCUCAGCAUGAAUUGGUGUAUGUUCUAAUACAUUUUGUGAAGACAUCUAGAGAAACAGAAAGCAAAAGUUGAAGCAAGCCAGGGUCUGACAGUGCCAUAAUAUCUUCUUGUUUUUUAAAGAAUGUAUUUAAAAUGAUAAACGUAUGCCUAAAUACCAUUUGAUCUGAUUACCAAACAUCUUGAUAUUAUAUAUUCUAAUAGUCAUUCAGUUCUAAAGAUUUCAUACUUUCUCUUAUUAUUACCUUUUUAAUUCAUUGGUUAUUUGGGAAUGUGCAUGGGUUUUUAAAAGUAUAUAUUGGUUUGCCAUAUUUUAUUGUUGAUUGCUUAUUUAAUUACAUUGUUAGAGAACCUUAUGUAAUAAAAUUUGAGAACUGUCAUGAAUUCUUACGUUUCAU